GUUAAACUGCACACUUAUCACACAUUAUCACAGUCACCAUUUACACAGAAUAAACAGUUAACAGCUGUAUUCAGAACAUAUUAUUGGAAGGUAUACCAAUUUUAGUUUAGAUUUAUUUUAGGGAUUCUUAUGUGUACAUUUUCUUAAUUAACUUCAUUACUUUAAUCUACUAUAGUAUUGUAUUUAAAGAAAGGAUCCAUUUAUAUAGCGCGCUCAUAACUCAACUAUUUGUAUAAAACUACCAUUAACUAAUCUGAGAUGAUGCUGCAUCAACUUAAAUCUUACAGAAAUUGAACAAACAUCUGGACCAGAUUAAACAGACAUGGUUUCACCAGAAUCUUUCAGAACUCUCAGAGACUUAAAAAAUUUAUACUAUACCAUGUUUUAAAGGCAUGGCAAACCUUUAGACCGGUCAGUCUCCAAGAGCCCUUAGUAACACAGGUAAAAAAC